rnacentral:rRNA from 1 species
UACGUAGGGGGCAAGCGUUGUCCGGAAUCAUUGGGCGUAAAGAGCGUGUAGGCGGCCCGGUAAGUCCGCUGUGAAAGUCCAGGGCUCAACCCUGGGAUGCCGGUGGAUACUGUCGGGCUCGAGUCCGGAAGAGGAGUGUGGAAUUCCUGGUGUAGCGGUGAAAUGCGCAGAUAUCGGGAGGAACACCAAUUGCGAAGGCAGCUCGCUGGGACGUCACUGACGCUGAGACGCGAAAGCGUGGGGAGCAAACAGG